UGUACUUUUGCGUAGGAAAUUUUCAAACUAUUAAACUGGUUUCUCUUUUAGGUGUUUGAGAGGGAGUGUCAAACUAAAUGUGACCGGUUGAUGUCAGAUAAGGAAAACAGUUUGCAGAAAAAGAAAGGAGCUGAGGAAGACUCACUUGCUGCUGUAACAAAGCAUGUAAGCAAAGCAAGAGUUUAUCGUGGAACUUAUUAGCUGGUUGAAGGUUUCAGAGGGACUUGAGAAAUUCUGUUGAACAGGAGAACAUUUGGGAGAAGAUCAUGUGUAGGAGCUUUCUCUUCAUAAUUCUGACUUCAUGUGUCUGCGAAAUGUCGGAUAAUCAUAACAAGGAUCUGUACUAUCAGGCUGAAGAAAAUCGUGACAUCACAGUAGAAUGGACGUUUACAACCAAAGUUAGCAUCACCAUUUCAUCGCUUAAGAUCCACUGC